CAUUAGAUGGCUGAAAGCAAGCAUUGGUCUCUUAAACCUUCCUAUAAUAGUUUAGUACCUAUUUCUAAUG
rnacentral:tRNA from 1 species